GAAACCGUUCAGGGGUAAACCUGAGAAACCCAAAAGAUCGAAUGGGGAGAUUCAUCGGCGACGAAGCCGUCUCCCGUUGGUGUUCGAUACCCCGAAUGGGCCUUCGCGGUUCCAAUACGAGGGUACGUCAUCUUCGGCGAACGAUCGGCGACGUAGUCGUGCACUUCUCCCUUAGUAGAACGUCGCGACCCGUUGUGUGUCGGUCUACGGCCUGGGCUGCUGCCUGUCGCGGCAUCUUCGUGUGCUCGCGGCAGAGGCUCGGUCGCCUGGCCGGCUGCACGACGGUACUCUGACGGUAUAGGGCCGCAACCAAUCCAUUUUAAAUGUGUGUGCGUCAGGCUCGUCGCAAGCUCGGACAGUUACCCGGGGUGUGCGGACCUAGUGCCCCCCCCGGGUCUGGCCAGCUGUUGGCAGACGAUGUCCUUGGACUGGCCAAGCUUUAAAUUACCGGUCAGCGACGCUACUGCUUUGGGUACUCUCAGGACCCGUCUUGAAACACGGACCAAGGAGUCUAACAUGUGCGCGAGUCAUUGGGAUAUGGAAACCUAAAGGCGGAAUGAAAGUGAAGGUCGUUCCUUAGCGUCGACCAAGGGAGGAUGGGCCGAAUACGUCCCGGCCCCGCACUCCCGGGGCGUCUCGUUCUCAUUGCGAGAAGAGGCGCACCCAGAGCGUACACGUUGGGACCCGAAAGAUGGUGAACUAUGCCUGGUCAGGACGAAGUCAGGGGAAACCCUGAUGGAGGUCCGUAGCGAUUCUGACGUGCAAAUCGAUCGUCGGAACUGGGUAUAGGGGCGAAAGACUAAUCGAACCAUCUAGUAGCUGGUUCCCUCCGAAGUUUCCCUCAGGAUAGCUGGCACUCGCUCGUUCCUCCGUGAACGUGUGCGAGUUUCAUCUGGUAAAGCGAAUGAUUAGAGGCCUUGGGGCCGAAACGACCUCAACCUAUUCUCAAACUUUAAAUGGGUGAGAUCUCUGGCUUGCUUGGAUCAUGAAGCCAAGAGAUUUUGAAUCAGAGUGCCAAGUGGGCCAAUUUUGGUAAGCAGAAGCUGGCGCUGUGGGAUGAACCAAACGUAGAGUUAAGGCGCCUAAGUCGACGCUUAUGGGAUACCAUGAAAGGCGUUGGUUGCUUAAGACAGCAGGACGGUGGCCAUGGAAGUCGGAA
rnacentral:rRNA from 1 species